GACGAACGCUGGCGGCGUGCUUAACACAUGCAAGUCGAACGGAACUCUUUGGAUCGAGACUUCGGUCAAGUGAAUCUGAGUUUAGUGGCGGACGGGUGAGUAACGCGUGAGGAACCUGCCUUUCAGAGGGGGAUAACAACCGGAAACAGUUGCUAAUACCGCAUAACGUAUUCGGGUCGCAUGUCCUGAAUACCAAAGGCUUGCUGCACAGAGAUGAGCUCGCGUCUGAUUAGGUAGUUGGCGGGGUAAUGGCCCACCAAGCCGACGAUCAGUAGCCGGACUGAGAGGAUGAACGGCCACAUUGGGACUGAGACACGGCCCAAACUCUACGGGAGGCAGCAGUGGGGAAUCUUCCGCAAUGGGCGG
rnacentral:rRNA from 1 species